UACGGGGGGUGCAAACGUUGCUCGGAAUCAUUGGGCGUAAAGCGCACGUAGGCGGUCCAGGAGGUCGGGUGUGAAAGCCCUCGGCUCAACCGAGGAAGUGCAUUCGAAACCACUGAACUUGAGUAUGGAAGAGGGUCGCGGAAUUCCCGGUGUAGAGGUGAAAUUCGUAGAUAUCGGGAGGAACACCAGUGGCGAAGGCGGCGACCUGGGCCAAUACUGACGCUGAGGUGCGAAAGCGUGGGGAGCAAACAGG
rnacentral:rRNA from 1 species